rnacentral:rRNA from 1 species
GACAGAGGAGCCAAGCGUUGUCCGGAUUGACUGGGCGUAAAGCGCACGCAGGCGGCCCGGCGCGUGGGGUGUGAAAGCUGGCGGCUUAACUGCCAGACGCCAUCCCAUACGGACUGGGCUCGAGCCCUGCAGAGGUCCAUGGAAUUGCCGGUGUAGUGGUGAAAUGCGUAGAGAUCGGCAGGAACACCCAGGGGGAAACCAGUGGACUGGGACAGGA